rnacentral:tRNA from 1 species
GGAGGCUACUGCUCAGUGGUAAAGUGCACGCCUAGACUGCAUGAGGUCCUGGGUUCAAUCCCCAGUACCUCCA